rnacentral:rRNA from 1 species
UUUACCGUGAAAAAAUUAGAGUGUUCAAAGCAUGCAGAUCCAAUUUUCUGCCACCGAAUACAUUAGCAUGGGGAUAAUAGGAAUAGGACCCUGUCCUCCUAUUUUCAGUUGGUUUUGGCAGCGCGAGGACUAGGGUAAUGAUUAAUAGGGAUAGUUGGGGGCAUUAAUAUUUAAUUGUCAGAGGUGAAAUUCUUGGAUUUAUGAAAGAUUAACUUCUGCGAAAGCAUCUGCCAAGGAUGUUUUCAUUAAUCAAGAACGAAAGUUAGGGGAUCGAAGACGAUCAGAUACCGUCGUAGUCUUAACCAUAAACGAUGCCGACCAGCGAUUAGGAGACGUUGAAUACAAAACACCACCAUCGGUGCGGUCAUCCUUGGCGUUGGUCUUCAAAAGCCAGCGCGGGGGUGGCUUAGCCCGGUGGCACCGGUGAAUGACUCCCCUAGAG